rnacentral:tRNA from 1 species
AGGUUGGGUGCAGAUGGUUCUGAAUUAGAUUUAUUAAAUCUAAAUAAGGGUUCGAUUCCUUCUCAAUCAA